GUCCACCGACCUUCGACUCUGCUACACGGACCCUCGAGGCUUCACAUCGUGCCGCGUCUGGCGGGCAGCUCAUCAGCUGGAAUCUCGUCCCGUCCCCGGAUCCACACUGGACAUAAGGACCAGAGGAUCCAGCUGCUAGCGCUGACGUCGGUCACCUCCGGUCUUUCUUAAAAAAUAAACUGUUUGUCGCCUCGAA